UACGAAGGGGGCUAGCGUUGCUCGGAAUUACUGGGCGUAAAGGGCGCGUAGGCGGCACUGUUAGUCAGGCGUGAAAUUCCUGGGCUCAACCUGGGGACUGCGCUUGAUACGGCAGAGCUUGAGGAUGGAAGAGGGUCGCUGAAUUCCCAGUGUAGAGGUGAAAUUCGUAGAUAUUGGGAAGAACACCGGUGGCGAAGGCGGCGACCUGGUCCAUUACUGACGCUGAGGCGCGACAGCGUGGGGAGCAAACAGG
rnacentral:rRNA from 1 species